rnacentral:rRNA from 1 species
AUGCAAGUCGACGGAACGAUGAAGAGCUUGCUCUUCAGGCGUCGAGUGGCGGACGGGUGAGUAAUACAUAGGAAUCUGCCCAGUAGCGGGGGACAACUUGGGGAAACUCAAGCUAAUACCGCAUACGCCCUACGGGGGAAAGCAGGGGAUCUUCGGACCUUGCACUAUUGGAUGAGCCUAUGUCAGAUUAGCUUGUUGGUGGGGUAAUGGCCUACCAAGGCGACGAUCUGUAGCUGGUCUGAGAGGACGAUCAGCCACACUGGGACUGAGACACGGCCCAGACUCCUACGGGAGGCAGCAGUGGGGAAUAUUGCACAAUGGGCGAAAGCCUGAUGCAGCAAUGCCGCGUGUGUGAAGAAGGCCUGCGGGUUGUAAAGCACUUUCAGUAGGGAGGAAAAGCAAUGGGCCAAUACCCCGUUGUCUUGACGUUACCUACAGAAGAAGCACCGGCUAACUCUGUGCCAGCAGCCGCGGUAAUACG